rnacentral:rRNA from 1 species
CGCAUCUGUGCAUGCAGCAUAUCAAUAAGCGGAGGAAAAGAAACUAACAAGGAUUCCCCUAGUAACGGCGAGUGAAGCGGGAAGAGCUCAAAUUUGAAAUCUUAAAGGGUUUCCCUCUACGAAUUGUAGUUUAAAGAAGUGUUUUCUGUUGAGGUUUUGGUAAAAGUUCUUUGGAAUAGGACAUCAUAGAGGGUGAGAAUCCCGUAUUUGACCUUUACUUUCAACUUUGUGAUACACUUUCAAAGAGUCGGAUUGUUUGGGAAUGCAGUCCAAAAUGGGUGGUAAAUUUCAUCUAAAGCUAAAUAUUGGCGAGAGACCGAUAGCGAACAAGUACCGUGAGGGAAAGAUGAAAAGAACUUUGAAAAGAGAGUUAAACAGUACGUGAAAUUGUCAAAAGGGAAGCGUUUGACACCAGUGUUGUUUUUCUGAAAAUCAAUUAAAGAACUGUUUAUGCUAAGUUGUUUAGACUUUAUCAGCUAUCUGUUUAGUUUUGAGCUUUUCUUUAAUGCACUUUUCAGUUAACAAGUCAACAUCAAUUUCUUUUGCUGUAAAAAAGCUUGAGGAAGGUGGCUUGAGAUUCGUCUUAAGUGUUUAUAGCCUCUUGCCUAUGCAGUCGGAGAGAUUGAGGUCUGCAGCGUAGAUCCUUCGGGGCUAAAUGCAUUUGUGCUAAGUUAUAACAUUUUAUAGACAACUUGUUGACUAUGAUUUGUCUUGUAGCUUACUCGCUUAUGUUAUUUUACCUACGCUUAGGAUGUUCACAGCAGUAUAGACUGU